UACGUAGGGCGCAAGCGUUGUCCGGAAUUAUGGGGCGUAAAGAGCUCGUAGGCGGCUUGUCACGUCGGGUGUGAAAGCCCGGGGCUUAACCCCGGGUCUGCAUUCGAUACGGGCUAGCUAGAGUGUGGUAGGGGAGAUCGGAAUUCCUGGUGUAGCGGUGAAAUGCGCAGAUAUCAGGAGGAACACCGGUGGCGAAGGCGGAUCUCUGGGCCAUUACUGACGCUGAGGAGCGAAAGCGUGGGGAGCGAACAGG
rnacentral:rRNA from 1 species